CCUACGGUAGGCAGCAGUCGAGAAUCAUUCACAAUGGGGGAAACCCUGAUGGUGCGACGCCGCGUGGGGGAAUGAAGGUCUUCGGAUUGUAAACCCCUGUCAUGUGGGAGCAAAUUAAAAAGAUAGUACCACAAGAGGAAGAGACGGCUAACUCUGUGCCAGCAGCCGCGGUAAUACAGAGGUCUCAAGCGUUGUUCGGAAUCACUGGGCGUAAAGCGUGCGUAGGCUGUUUCGUAAGUCGUGUGUGAAAGGCGCGGGCUCAACCCGCGGACGGCACAUGAUACUGCGAGACUAGAGUAAUGGAGGGGGAAACGGAAUUCUCGGUGUAGCAGUGAAAUGCGUAGAUAUCGAGAGGAACACUCGUGGCGAAGGCGGGUUCCUGGACAUUAACUGACGCUGAGGCACGAAGGCCAGGGGAGCGAAAGGGAUUAGAUACCCUAGUUGUC
rnacentral:rRNA from 1 species